UAUUUUCCUAGGGCUCCGUUGACUCUGCCGUUGGCACCUCUAACGGUGACCGUACCGAGCACGCCGUCUGUUAAAUAAACAACACCGACAGACGUCACUAAGCAGUUUCGUCGAAGGAGCGCAAAUAAUUUGCCACUGUAUAAUGUACGUACCAACUAUUCCGCCCACCCCCGAGAGUGUAUCGUCGAUAACGCCUAUAAGGCCACCGGAAUUGCGUGCUGCAUAUGACGUUGUUUUCACCUGGACCACACUUUUGUCGGCAAUCAGGACGACGAUGAGGAACAGGGCCACAAAAUUGGCUAAGGUCGACAUACCUGGAGAUAUGCACUGCCAUUUCAGGUGACUGAUCACUCGAUUCCGACACUAUACCACUUCAGUUCUCCACAAGUCAUCAUGGCAAAGAGGUUGCCACUGGAUCAUUAGGGAAUCCAUCAUCGAUCUUCGUUUUUUUCAUCUGUUCAAGUGGACUGCAGCGUAAAACAAUGAGAACAAGUUUGGCAGGCCACAAUUACACAAUUCCUUUUUUGCUGACAACGCUUGUUUACUUCCUGUUUCGCAAGCCGUCAGGUUUACUCAUUUGUCGUUCAUCCUCUCUAACACCAGGUGGUUCAUACCUUUGGCUUUCGACUUAAUGAAGUGAAUUACUUGUCAGUUCUUGUCGAUCAGCAACAACCGCCAUAACAAGUUUAUGCACGUAUGUGCAUUACGUUAUAUAUAAUAGCUUCUUAAUAUACUUAUAGGUCUCGUAGCGUCCUUUGAUAGCCGAUGAACAUUACGGGGUAGUUUCAGUGCACAAGUCAUUGACACUUUUGAGCCAAACGGAGCUAGUGGAAACGUAUACCCUUAUUCAAUCAAGGAAUAAUUAUUUUGAAAAAUAGUUUCCAAGUAAAAUUGGCUUAACCCAGAAAUUGCAUAAAAAAUAAAAAUAGGUUGUUCAGCCAAGAGAGUAAUCAUUUACGUGCCGUACAAAAAUACAAAUAAUUUUUUUGAUAUGAAAAAGAAUGAUUAUAAGGGCUUUUCCAG